rnacentral:miRNA from 1 species
UAGAUGAAGCAACUCGACACU